rnacentral:rRNA from 1 species
CCAGCAGCCGCGGUAAUUCCAGCUCCAAUAGCGUAUAUUAAUGCUGCUGCGGUUGAAACGCUCGUAGUUGGACCUUGGGGCGGACUCUUAGGGCCGGCCUCCGGGCCGGGGUCUAAGGACCGUCCUUAUGCCGCCUUCCUCUCCCCUGGCUUCGGUCGGGGACCAAGGGGGGAUUGCGGCCGGUUACUUUGAAGAAAUCAGAGUGUUCAAAGCAGGCCAACGCCUUGAAUGCAUUAGCAUGGAAUAACAGAAUAGGACUUUGGUUCUUUUUUGUUGGUUUCGAGGACUAGAGUAAUGAUUAAUAGGGACAGUUGGGGGCAUUCAUAUUUGAUUGCCAGAGGUGAAAUUCUUGGACUUAUCAAA